UACGGAGGAUCCAAGCGUUAUCCGGAAUCAUUGGGUUUAAAGGGAGCGCAGGCGGAUUUGUAAGUCAGUGGUGAAAGCCCCGAGCUCAACUUGGGAACUGCCAUUGAUACUAUAAGUCUUGAAUGUCGUUGAGGUUUGCGGAAUGGGUCAUGUAGCGGUGAAAUGCAUAGAUAUGACCCGGAACACCGAUUGCGAAGGCAGCAGGCUAAACGAAUAUUGACGCUGAGGCUCGAAAGCGUGGGGAUCAAACAGG
rnacentral:rRNA from 1 species